CCUACGGGGUGCAGCAGUGGGGAAUAUUGGGCAAUGGACGCAAGUCUGACCCAGUAACGCCGCGUGAAGGAAGAAGGCUUUCGGGUUGUAAACUUCUUUUAAGGGGGAAGAGGAGAAGACGGUACCCCUUGAAUAAGCCACGGCUAACUACGUGCCAGCAGCCGCGGUAAUACGUAGGUGGCAAGCGUUGUCCGGAUUAACUGGGUGUAAAGGGCGUGCAGCCGGGCCGACAAGUCAGAUGUGAAAUCCGCGGGCUUAACCCGCGAACUGCAUUUGAAACUAUAGGUCUUGAGGGACGGAGAGGUAAUCGGAAUUCCUUGUGUAGCGGUGAAAUGCGUAGAUAUAAGGAAGAACACCGGUGGCGAAGGCGGAUUACUGGACGGUAACUGACGGUGAGGCGCGAAGGCGUGGGAGCAAACAGGAUUAGAUACCCCUGUAGGC
rnacentral:rRNA from 1 species